UCGCACAGUAUAACUUGACUACUUGCAUUGCAUACUUCUUGAAGCACAGGUCUUCUUGCUGUUUGAAUUUCUCUCCAUAAAGGAGAUAUAAAACGACAAGGAAUAACUAGAAAGGAAAUUGAUCUUCUUAGUGAUAGCAAAAUAAGAAUCUUCUAUGGAAAAGUUAAAAAGCAAUUAUUUUGUUGCUAUUCCUUAUAGUUUUCUGAAAUAUGCAUACACAAUUAUCCAAACCAAACAGAAUCUGAACCAUUUAUGAAGACACCUGCAAACCCAAACACUGUAAAAAAUUGCAAUGAAGCAAGGAGAACCAAUACAGUCAUAUUUGGAGUACACUCCAUGGAUAGUCCAAAUCAAUAUGAAAACUAUUUUAGGAGCUAUAAAAUAGCUCUUUUUCACUCAGUGUUGCUUCUAACAAUAAACAGAAAUACUUUUAGCUCACACUGGCAUGUAAAAUUGGGAUAUAAUGACAACUUCAGAUUAAAAGAUAAUUCAUCAGUUUGGUCAGGUUGUUUUAGUAGAGAACAUGGUUCAUUUUUUUAACCAUUCUAGGGGCUGAAGUAAUAUAACUGCUAUUUUCCUUUACAUAUUAAUGCAACUCAGACUAUGUAUCCACACAUUUCUCACUAUUUCCCUAUAAAAAUCAAAAUAAACCUAGGCAUAGUUAUUCAGCAGGGAUCGUACACAUACAAAGAUCUUGCUACAGUGUUUACUGAACAUGCUCCUAUGUUAAUGCUUAUUAAAAAUGUGAAUCAAUGUGAAUGUAUGGUAUUUUUGCUGGCUUGUCUUGAGGAUUUCAUUAAAAAAUGCUCAACUCUUUCUGUUAUAGUGACUUAUUUCAUGCAGCCAGUAUAAACUGAACAUGUCCCCAGAAAAGAGGUAGAAUGUCAAAUGCGAUUAGAAACUCAAGAGCUGAUUCCAAGAUUGAUUCCAAAUAAGGUUAACGCUCAUGAGUAACAACGUAAUCAUAUCCUAUCAGCAUGUCUUUGAACUGACACAAAGCCUUUCAUUUAGGAGCCAUUCAUUAACCCAAAUAUUGAGGGAAAACAAUCUGAAACAACCAAGAAAAAUAAAAAUCAGAAAAGUAAGUAAGCGGUUCUGG
rnacentral:lncRNA from 1 species